AUACAGGGAUGUCCACACCCUGAAAACAACCUGUGAUUAGUGUCCUCUGAAAACACUGACUCUAAUCAUGGAAUGGAUCAGUGUCUUUCUCUUCCUCCUGUCAGUAACUGCAGGUGUCCACUCGCAGGUCCAGCUGCAGCAAUCUGGAGCUGUGCUGGUGAGGCCUGGUACUUCAGUGAAGCUGUCCUGCAAGGCUUCUGGCUACACCUUCACCAACUACUGGGUGAACUGGAUAAAACAGAGGUCUGGACAGGGCCUUGAGUGGAUUGGACGGAUUUAUCCUGGAGAUGGUGAUACUAAAUACAAUGAUAAGUUCAAGGGCAAGGCCACACUGACUGCAGACACAUCCUCCAGCACAGCCUACAUGCAACUCAGCAGUCUGACAUCUGAGGACUCUGCGGUCUAUUACUGUGCAAGACACAGUGUUAUAACCACAUCCUGAGUGCAUCAGAAACCC